GAUGAACGCUGGCGGCGUGCCUAAUACAUGCAAGUAGAACGCUGAAGGAGGAGCUUGCUCUUCUGGAUGAGUUGCGAACGGGUGAGUAACGCGUAGGUAACCUGCCUGGUAGCGGGGGAUAACUAUUGGAAACGAUAGCUAAUACCGCAUGACAACAGUUAUUGCAUGAUAACUGUUUAAAAGGGGCAACUGCUCCACUACCAGAUGGACCUGCGUUGUAUUAGCUAGUUGGUGAGGUAACGGCUCACAAAGGCGACGAUACAUAGCCGACCUGAGAGGGUGAUCGGCCACACUGGGACUGAGACACGGCCCAGACUCCUACGGGAGGCAGCAGUAGGGAAUCGUCGGCAAUGGACGGAAGUCUGACCGAGCAACGCCGCGUGAGUGAAGAAGGUUUUCGGAUCGUAAAGCUCUGUUGUAAGAGAAGAACGAGUGUGAGAGUGGAAAGUUCACACUGUGACGGUAUCUUACCAGAAAGGGACGGCUAACUACGUG
rnacentral:rRNA from 1 species